rnacentral:rRNA from 1 species
UUCGCCCUUUUCCGGUUGAUCCCGCCGGAGGCCACUGCUAUCGGAGUUCGAUUAAGCCGUGCGAGUUGAGAGGUGCAAGACCUCGGCAUACUGCUCAGUAACACGUGGACGACCUACCCUAAGGAGGGGGAUAACCCCGGGAAACUGGGGAUAAUACCCCAUAGACUAUGGAUGCUGGAAUGCUUUGUAGUCGAAAGGUCCGCCGCCUUAGGAUGGGUCUGCGGCCGAUUAGGUUGUUGUUGGGGUAACGGCCCAACAAGCCUGUAAUCGGUACGGGUUGUGGGAGCAAGAGCCCGGAGAUGGAUUCUGAGACACGAAUCCAGGCCCUACGGGGCGCAGCAGGCGCGAAAACUUUACAAUGCGGGAAACCGUGAUAAGGGAACUCCGAGUGCCCGUUAAAUCGGGCUGUCCACCAGUUUAAAUAACUGGUGAAGAAAGGGCCGGGCAAGACCGGUGCCAGCCGCCGCGGUAAUACCGGCGGCUCGAGUGGUGGCCACUAUUACUGGGCUUAAAGCGUUCGUAGCUGGUUUGUUAAGUCUCUGGGGAAAUCUACCG